GCGAGCGAAGCGGGAAGAGCUCAAAUUUAUAAUCUGGCACCUUCGGUGUCCGAGUUGUAAUCUCUAGAAGUGUUUUCCGCGUUGGACCGCACACAAGUCUGUUGGAAUACAGCGGCAUAGUGGUGAGACCCCCGUAUAUGGUGCGGACGCCCAACGCUUUGUGAUACACUUUCGAAGAGUCGAGUUGUUUGGGAAUGCAGCUCAAAUUGGGUGGUAAAUUCCAUCUAAAGCUAAAUAUUGGCGAGAGACCGAUAGCGAACAAGUACCGUGAGGGAAAGAUGAAAAGCACUUUGGAAAGAGAGUUAACAGUACGUGAAAUUGUUGGAAGGGAAACGCUUGAAGUCAGACUUGCUUGCCGAGCAAUCGGUUUGCAGGCCAGCAUCAGUUUUCUGGGGUGGAUAAUGGUAGAGAGAAGGUAGCAGUUUCGGCUGUGUUAUAGCUCUCUACUGGAUACACCUUGGGGGACUGAGGAACGCAGUGUGCCUUACGGCGGAUUUCUCGAGAUCUUCACACUUAGGAUGCUGGUGGAAUGGCUUUAAACGACCC
rnacentral:rRNA from 1 species